CAGUAGCCGCGGUAAUACGAAGGGUGCAAGCGUUAAUCGGAAUUACUGGGCGUAAAGCGUGCGUAGGCGGUUUGUUAAGACAGAUGUGAAAUCCCCGGGCUUAACCUGGGAACUGCAUUUGUGACUGGCAAGCUAGAGUAUGGCAGAGGGGGGUGGAAUUCCGCGUGUAGCAGUGAAAUGCGUAGAGAUCGGGAGGAACAUCAGUGGCGAAGGCGGCCAUCUGGGACAACACUGACGCUGAGGCACGAAAGCGUGGGGAGCAAACAGGAUUAGAUACCCCCGUAGUCCCUGUCUCUUAUAC
rnacentral:rRNA from 1 species